ensembl:lncRNA
UAUUUUUUUUUUUUUUUUUGCUUUAGACACCAGAUCAGAUAAAAGUACCUGGCUUGCAUCCAAAAGCUCCAGCCACCAGCACUCAUUCCUGUCCUGGAAGUGUAUGUAGACCCUAAAGUAAUUUAGGAGCUGCUGACUUUACUAUACAGUAGAAGCAUCUAAUAAGUGUUAAAAGCCUGAACCAAACACCUUGGUCACAUAUCCUCUUUUGUCUCUGUGAAGAGUUUACUUCUGUGUGCAUUUCUCCACACCUUACACACAAAAUCACACCCCAGACAUUGCUGCCCCAUUACUUUGUGGAUAUAGCUAUUCAUGUAAUUACUCUCUAACCCAAACACUCAAAACAACAUAAGCCAGGAUAUAGCUCUACAGAUUGAAGUGUGUAAACUAACCCGAGCAAGUUCAGAUUAUUUGGUCUGGGCAGCUAUUAGAUACCAGCUAUGCCAAUAGGUGAAUGGUAGUGCCUCUGAAGGCACAGAAGGAAAGGCAAGUGAUGAGCUGGAGGCAAGACAGAGCUGGCAGUCUCUCAAGUUAGCAGCAGACGGACACAGCAUCUUUCCCCGCUGAAGUCAUGUUUGUGGCCUUGUCCUGCAGCUCUGGGGGUUACAGUGCUUGACUUCAAAGCAUUAUCUUUAAAUGAAUAUGAAUAAUUACUUGCUACAAAUACAAGACUGUAACUGAGACAAAAAGUGUCAAAAUCAGGAACUUCUGAAUGUUCUGUAACUGUAUCUAGCUGUGCCUAGGGAGUCCCUAGGGACUAUAAUUACUCUAUAAAACAAGUUAACACCUGCUCCUCACACUUUUCUUAAUUAAGAUUCAGUAGAGAUGCGAGUCAUUUUAACGAGUGAUCUGUGGCUCCACAGGAGCCAGUCUGGAGCAGAGGCUGUCUCAACAACACAGCGCAGCUUGUGCAAGGCAAUUACUGCACUUCCUAUAGGGUAUGCCACCUUCGAUUCUGCUCCGGCUUGGGCAAUUGAGAUUUUACCUGGGGUUUUCUGAGGGGCAGAGUAUCAACUGUUUAGUCCUUAUUUGUCCCCCAGGCUCACAGCCGUUUCUAGUUUAGACUGAUGUCCUCUGGAAAAAGUUGCAUUUUGACAGAGCAAUGGUCACUUCAGUAAUGCUAGUGCUUGCCUAUGCCUUGCUCAUUAUCAUGGCUGGGACAAAGGCAGGGGCAUGGGCAUGUAAAUCAUCUGUAAUAGAAAAACAGCCCCCAUUCCCCUGAGCACACACUGACUCAGGUGCUUUCUGGUUCUACCAAGUGCACUGACCUGUUUAGAAGGUACCAGAACUCCUACACCUGCUGGGAGACAGUCAGUAAGGUAGCAGAUCCAAAUGUUCCAAAAGCAAGUGACUAAGAACCGUAAGCCAGCUGAGAUGGUACCUACACAUGCAACAAGAAAUAUCUGUGUCCUGAAGAGGUGCACCCUGCUGCAAGUUUGAUGUGAUCUCUUCCACUUUGAAAUGGAAGAUUUGGCCUUGGUCUCUCCCACCAUCUCCCCCGUAACCAGGUCUCUGCCACCUGCUGGGGCCUGGGGAAGCUACAGUGAUCCUGCCCCUUUCCUGGCCACACAUUUUCUGGGAUGUGUGUAAAUGAAAACACCUUACUAAAUAUUUGUUGUUUCGUUCUAGGAAACCAAAAUGGUGCUGUUGGCUGUACUGGGCAAGGCCUUUCUGGACGGAGAACAGAAAAUACAGAAUCAGCUAUAUUUUUGGCUGGCAUGUGAUGAUAUCCUGGGGAGACUGAUGGGUAGAUAGAGAAGUGCAUAUAUCUUUGCUCUUAUUUACACCAAGGUAAGUCAAAAAUGUGUAAAAAGCACUGGAAAACACAAGAUGAGGUAAAGACUUUGAGGACACCUUCUAGAGCAUAGGCUCAUUAUUUUGCAUGCUUUUUUUGCUAUUUGGGCCAUGUCAUCUUUAUGUUCGUCCACGAACAAAUGGACCCUCUUGCCACCCUUGCAGAUGACACUGUGCAGACUGCAAUCAGCUAAAGAAGGCCUACACUCUACUGAACCAUGGAUAAUAGGAAAUCCAACAUUAGGAAGAAAUUCUCAGUAAUUAUACGUAGCUUACAUUCAAAUUUCAUUGUUCAAAAGUAGUUCUAUUUGCUUCUGUAGAUGCAACCAUAGAUGUAAAAAAAUAUAACAACUGUCAUGAAGCACCUAUUAGGCUCUCAAACACUGAAGUACAAAGCACAGCUGGGGAAGGUUGAUGAGAGACUAAAUUCUACUGUGACUGCUAAGGAUACUUGGGACAUAAAUUAGAUUAAUAUUUACACAGAGUAGAGUUAAAGGGCUUGAUGUUCUUGCCUGUUGUCUUUCACUGGCUAAAAAGAAGGCAGUUCUGAACCAUGAGAUAACUGAAUUUUUUCAGUAAUAAGAGUUGAAAGCAUUUGCUGUGAGCAUAUUGAAACUAUAAAAAUAUGUCUAAUUUCUAGACAGAAGUCAUUAACUUGGUGUUAGGGUUGUAAAUAAAUUGUACAUUUAAGAGGGAAACUCAAUACUGUGUGCACUAUUAAAAACAGAUCUUUAUGACACCGCAGCACUUCAUCUUACAGCUGUGUUUGUGAGUUCCUUUACGCUUCAUCUGGGGAAUCUUUUCUAUACCACAGCAACUGCAGGGGAUGAGAGUUCCCAGCCCUCUGGCUGAAGCCCAGUCUCUGCAGGAUGAGAGAGGGCAGGCAGAGGUUGCCAGGGGCCAGGAUUGACCCACACAUUGCUAGAGCUGAGGCUCCUCUGACAGGUCAUCUGGUGUUUGUGGGGACCUGGGAUCACCUGUACCCUACAGGGCAGCACGGGGACACCUACCUGGCACUUGUCUCUACCAGGGAGGACAGUCCCCAGAGUCCUGAAUGGGGCUGGGUGGCAAGCACCUUGCCCUGCUGUUCGAGAUGAAUCCCAAGGCAUGUUGCAGCUCUUCAACCACUCAAUAUCUCAGAAGGUGAGAUUUAAAGUUUUGAAAUAAUUAUUAGCGCAAUCAGAAAGUACCAGAGAAAAAGGCGUAAAAACACAAAACAACCCCAAAGAACCCAACCUAUCCCCACCACCUUUUAUCCCCACCAGCCUUACAUUUUGAAGGUCUAUGUCUGUGCUAUUACAAGGUUGCUGAGAUGUCAGACCUCAGCUCUUUGAUAACUUGCCAGUUCGGGAAAGUUCAAUAAGCUGAGGGCAGCCUAAACCCUGUAGACUUGGGCAUUCUGCCUGUGGCUACACACAUCUUAAACCACAACCGCUGUGCCCUAUGCAACAGCGUAUAAAUACCACAGCUGCGGCGAUAAAAUAAGUAUGAAGUUUCCAAAGCUGAAAGAUGCUCUGUGAUAAUGGUGCUAAAGGUUUAAGGGGUUUCAAAUACCCCUCUGCACUUUCCAGAAAAAAAAAAAAAGCAUGUUAGAAAGCAAGAUAGAGUGGAUUGAUGACAAGAUGGAGCAAGAUGGAGUAAAAAGGUGGCUUGGGAAACAGUUAACAUGAUACGAGGAGGACACAGAAUGCAUGGAGAUGUUGUAUUAUUGUGAUGCAAAACCAAUGCCUCAGGGUGCUCUGCUCACGUUUCAUAAAACAGUUGUGUGUCUGAAGAGCGUGUGCCAUGUGAUGCCUGGAAAAAGAUGUGACAAAUGUAAAGAAGAAUGGAUGACAGAAAGGAUUACGUAGCCCAGGGUCUGACACGAGGGUUCCCGGAAAUGUCUACAGGAAGAGAAAAUGUAACUGGGAAGUGGCACAGUAGAGAUGCUCGAGAUCCUGACUGUCAUGGCGCAUAUUUCUCAGGAUGAGAACGACGAAAGAGAAAGUUCAAAACUCAGAAAAUUGUCUGUCUCUUGCACAUACACACAAAACAAGGUUUUUUUUUUUUUAACAAGUUAGAUUUUCCAAGGUAUCACUGAAGCUAGAGAUUUAGUAAAGUUUGGAGAAAGAGCUUAUGUUUCUACAGACAGUGAAACAUUCAGACUUUCCACAGCUAACUCAAGGAAAACAUUAGGAAAUGACAUAAAACCUGCUACUUUGAGGUGACCUUUGAGGUGUAACUAUCAAAUGAUAAAAUGAACCUUUACGAAGGGAUACGUUACCUUCUUACUGAGGAGCUUCUGGCACCUUUGUUUUUAACACCUGUUAUGUUCACCCUUGGUGAAGAGACACAUCUUAAUUUGGGCCUUGGGUUACGUAGACCACAGCUGUAUGAUAUAUAUAUAUAUUUUAAUCCAUCAAAAAGAGAUAAGUGGCAACAAGACAAGGAUUAUUGACGGACUACAGGAG